UGGGUCGGCACGUGGGCGCCCGGCGCGCACCCCCUGAGCACCCCCUUACCCGUCUGCCCUGAGCCCCUGGGAGACAGCAGCUUGGAGGGGCGCCAAGGUGAGGAGGCUGCCAUGCAGAGAGUUGCCAUGACACAUUGCUCGCUCUCAGACUAACUGUGUGAGGCCCUGGCUCCAGCCUGCCAGGCACAGCUCAGAAGCUGCUGCCAACGUCCUGUGUGCUGUGCCACCCAUGCCCCUGCCUGGAGAGCGGCCUUGGCCCUGCGGGGACUGUCCUAUUAUUCCAAGGCCCCAUUGUUCCUGGCCCAGUGAGGCGCCCCAGUAAAGCGAAAGGCUCGGCAAGAGACAGUUUUCCAGGAAAUGGGAUUUGGCUGCCGAAGAAGGAGCAGAAGAAAGGGAGCUGCCGGGAAGGGGGCAGACAGUAGAGACCCUACAGAUUCAGCUUUUAGAGGUUGCCCGCUGUGGUGCCCUCCGGUCUUCACCACCAGCCAUGGCCAGCCACGUUUCUGUUGCCUCGCAUCACCGGCCCUGACUCUGCCUUCCUCUUUCACUUCUGAGGGACCCUGUCAUUACCUGGCUCACCUGGAUCAUCCAAGAGAACGUCUCCACCCUCAAGAUGUUUCAACUAGUCAUGUCUCCAAAGGCCCUUUCGCCAUAUUCGUUACCAUGGUCACAGGAUCGGGGGAUUAGGAUGUGCACAUCUUUUUUUAUUUUUAUUUUUUUAAAUAUUUUAUUGAUUUUUUACAGAGAGGAA